rnacentral:rRNA from 1 species
AUGGCAUCCAUCGCUUGGAAUUGGAACGCCUACAUUGAUACUGAAACAUGCAAAAACUUCGCCUGCCGUGCCUGGGUGAAGCUGAUGCGUCCUUUCGAUCCCCGCGAGUUCAUCCUGUCUUUGACAGCUCAGUUCUAUGCCGCGACGUCGGUAGGUGGUGGUGUACAAGCCCUAAUGAAGAUGGAGGAGGCCAUGCAAGGAGGAGGAGAUUCCCUCAAGGAUAUCGAGCGGCUUGUCAUGAAAAAUAGGUAUCUUGUUGUGUUGGAAGACCUGUCCACCAUGGCAGAGUGGGAUGCUAUCAGGAGGUUUUUUCCAAACAUGAAGAGUGGCAGCUGCAUCAUCUUGUCCACGCAGCAAUAUGAGGUGGCAAGUUUGUCUGUGGGACAUCCAUACCAAGUGCUGCGCCUCAACUAG